rnacentral:rRNA from 1 species
CUACGGGGCGCUCCAGUGGGGAAUAUUGGACAAUGGGCGCAAGCCUGAUCCAGCAAUGCCGCGUGUGUGAAGAAGGCCUUCGGGUUGUAAAGCACUUUCAGUAGGGAAGAAAUACUCAAGGCUAAUAUCCUUGAGGGUUGACGUUACUUACAGAAGAAGCACUGGCUAACUCUGUGCCAGCAGCCGCAGUAAUACAGAGAGUGCAAGCGUUAAUCGGAAUUACUGGGCGUAAAGCGCGUGUAGGUGGAUGCUUAAGUCGGAUGUGAAAGCCCCGGGCUCAACCCGGGAACUGCAUUCGAUACUGAGUAUCUAGAGUAUAGUAGAGGGAAGUGGAAUUUCCGGUGUAGCGGUGAAAUGCGUAGAUAUCGGAAAGAACACCAGUGGCGAAGGCGGCUUCCUGGACUAAUACUGACACUGAGACGCGAAAGCGUGGGGAGCGAACAGGAUUAGAUACCCUUGUAGUC